rnacentral:lncRNA from 1 species
AGUCCCCUCUGUCCAAGGAGGAUGCUAACCCCAGCAGAGACUGACUAUCUGGCAGUACCCACUCUGGGUCUGCCAGGCCCCAUGGGCUCCUUCCUGGGACUGUAGGGUUCCAGCCUGGGAUUUCGAUGGGCUGGAGGAAGG